GCAUAUUGACAAAAAAAGGCAAAUUAAGCCGUAAACCAUGCGAUGCACACUUCAUACACACAUGACAGCUCCCCAUUGCAAACUAUCUACCUGAUUCUACCAGGCUUGGGCAAUUUACAAUGUUGAAUAUCUUAAGAAUUGAAUAAGAGGAAUAUUGUUGACAACAACCAUCAAGAAAAGGGAAAUUUUGCUCAAAAUCAAUGGAAAAGACAGGUAUCUCUAUUCACAUUAUAGCAUCAUGCCAAGCCUUGUGCUUAAGUUCUUUCAGAUAACUCAAAAUUUUUGCCACUAAUUGGAAAAUCUUUGACGAAAUUAACAGCACAUUUACCAAUAAAAAGAAUUUUCAAAAUUUAUAAGCAUAGUGGCAAGUAUUAACAACCUCCAUCAGUUGCAAUUAACAACUUUGUGGUCAACUUCAAAACCAAAAUCAGAGUUUCUUGGACCUUUUUUUUUUAAUAUAUUCAUAAUGACUUCCUAUUGCAAACUUGUAAUUUUUUAAGAAAAAAGUAUUAGUUGAUUUUUUUUCAUUGUUAUUCUUUU
rnacentral:misc_RNA from 1 species